rnacentral:rRNA from 1 species
GACGAACGCUGGCGGCGCGCCUAACACAUGCAAGUCGAACGGAGCUAUUUUGAUAGAUCCUUCGGGUGACAUUGGCUUAGCUUAGUGGCGAACGGGUGAGUAACACGUGAGGAACCUGCCCUUCAGAGGGGGACAACAGUUGGAAACGACUGCUAAUACCGCAUAUUCUGCUUCUGCCGCAUGGUGGGGGUUGGAAAGAUUUUUUUGGAUGGGGAGUGGGCUCACGGCCUAUCAGCUUGUUGGUGGGGUGAUGGCCUACCAAGGCGUCGACGGGUAGCCGGCCUGAGAGGGUGACCGGCCACAUUGGGACUGAGAUACGGCCCAG